UGCGAGUCAAUGUUCUUCGUGAACAUGGCGUACUGCUCAGUAACACGUGGAUAAUCUGCCCUAAGGUCUGGCAUAACACCGGGAAACUGAUGAUAAUUCCAGAUGGACCAUGGAUACUGGAAUGUUCUGUGGUCAAAAGCUCCGGCGCCUUAGGAUGAAUCUGCGGCCUAUCAGGUUGUAGUGGGUGUAACGUACCUACUAGCCGACGACGGGUACGGGUUGUGAGAGCAAGAGCCCGGAGAUGGAUUCUGAGACAUGAAUCCAGGCCCUACGGGGCGCAGCAGGCGCGAAAACUUUACAAUGCGGGAAACCGCGAUAAGGGGACACUGAGUGCCAGCAUCUUAUGUUGGCUGUCCACAUGUAUAAAUAGCAUGUGUUAGCAAGGGCCGGGCAAGACCGGUGCCAGCCGCCGCGGUAACACCGGCGGCCCGAGUGGUGGCCACUAUUAUUGGGUCUAAAGGGUCCGUAGCCGGUUUGAUCAGUCUUCCGGGAAAUCUGACAGCUCAACUGUUAGGCUUCCGGGGGAUACUGUCAGGCUUGGGACCGGGAGAGGUAAGAGGUACUACAGGGGUAGGAGUGAAAUCUUGUAAUCCCUGUGGGACCACCAGUGGCGAAGGCGUCUUACCAGAACGGGUCCGACGGUGAGGGACGAAAGCUGGGGGCACGAACCGGAUUAGAUACCCGGGUAGUCCCAGCCGUAAACGAUGCUCGCUAGGUGUCUGGGAUGGUGCGACCGUUUCAGGUGCCGCAGGGAAGCCGUGAAGCGAGCCACCUGGGAAGUACGGCCGCAAGGCUGAAACUUAAAGGAAUUGGCGGGGGAGCACUACAACGGGUGGAGCCUGCGGUUUAAUUGGUACUCAACGCCGGAAAACUCACCU
rnacentral:rRNA from 1 species